rnacentral:rRNA from 1 species
UACGAAGGGGGCUAGCGUUACUCGGAUUGACUGGGCGUAAAGGGCGCGUAGGCGGUUUGUACAGUCAGACGUGAAAUUCCUGGGCUCAACCUGGGGCUGCGUUUGAUACGUGCGGACUUGAGUUCGGAAGAGGGUCGUGGAAUUCCCAGUGUAGAGGUGAAAUUCGUAGAUAUUGGGAAGAACACCGGUGGCGAAGGCGGCGACCUGGUCCGAUACUGACGCUGAGGCGCGAAAGCGUGGGGAGCAAACAGG